ACAACUAUACCUUGCAGUAUACAGACAGUAACUUUGGAACACCUAAAAAUCCACCUGAACAGUUACUGAUUGUGGAAGCAGUCCUGGACGUUAUUUCCUCAACAGGUUUACUCAGGAAUUGAAGUACUUUAAAAAAAAAAGAAUACCAAGUCUCGACUGAGAGAGGCAGCAAUGUGCCAUAAAGCAUCCAGUCUGCUAGAAAUACAAAAGAAGAAGAAGAAGAUGUAGCUUCAUUGUCCGUCGGCUGGGAACCCUCGUUUAUCUUCCCUCCGGAGAUGGUUGGUAGGAAAACAGAAGGUGAGGGACAGGCGGACCUUCGACACAGGACAACACGGGGACCAGGACACACACACUCACACUCUGCUCCGGUGAUCGAUGAAGACAACAUUGGUAAUGGCCUUAACAGCCGAGCAAGGUGGGCGAUCAGUGGCCAUCGAGCCGAUCAUCUGGGGAAGCAGAGCAUGUCCGAGUUAAAGGGAACAUUUCACUGAUUUCUUGGACCCCGGUGGUCAGAGGGAAGCGAGCCGAGUAUCACAGUAGCAGGUGUGUGCACUUACCAUCGAGUAGAGGGAGCUCCCCCAGCCUUUGGCGAGGUGAUCUGGCACUACAACCACCCGAUGUCCCUGACGCCCAGCCACCACCAUUAGACUGUGUUGUCUCCAAAACCAUCGCCUGACACCCAGCCACCACCAUUGGACUGUGUCGUCCCCACAACCACCACCUGACGCCCAGCCACCACCAUUGGACUGUGUCGUCCCCACAACCACCACCUGACACCCAGCCACCACCAUUGGACUGUGUGGUCCCCACAACCACCACCUGACGCCCAGCCACCACCAUUAGACUGUGUUGUCUCCAAAACCAUCGCCUGACACCCAGCCACCACACUUGGACUGUGUCGUCCCCACAACCACCACCUGACGCCCAGCCACCACCAUUAGACUGUGUGGUCUCCAAAACCAUCGCCUGGACCCCAGCCACCACCAUUGGGCUGUGUCGUCCCCACAACCACUGCCGUCCUCCCCUUUCUUAUCCAACGUUCAUCCAUCUUCAUCUCGAUGUAUGUCAUAUAUAAAGUCUUCACAGAACUCUGGUCUGGUUUCUCAAAAGCCUCGUUCAUGAAUGUUGUAGCAAAAUGCACUCCUGGUCAAUGCACCAACCACGAACUUGCUCU